rnacentral:rRNA from 1 species
AUUGAACGCUGGCGGCAUGCCUUACACAUGCAAGUCGAACGGUAACAGGUCUUCGGAUGCUGACGAGUGGCGAACGGGUGAGUAAUACAUCGGAACGUGCCCGAGAGUGGGGGAUAACGAAGCGAAAGCUUUGCUAAUACCGCAUACGAUCUCAGGAUGAAAGCAGGGGACCGCAAGGCCUUGCGCUCACGGAGCGGCCGAUGGCAGAUUAGGUAGUUGGUGGGAUAAAAGCUUACCAAGCCGACGAUCUGUAGCUGGGCUGAGAGGAAGACCAGCCACACUGGGACUGAGAAACGCCACAGACUCCUACGGGAGGCAGCAGUGGGGAAUUUUGGACAAUGGGCGCAAGCCUGAUCCAGCCAUGCCGCGUGCAGGAUGAAGGCCUUCGGGUUGUAAACUGCUUUUGUACGGAACGAAAAGACUCCUUCUAAUAAAGGGGGUCCAUGACGGUACCGUAAGAAUAAGCACCGGCUAACUACGUGCCAGCCGCCGCCGUAAUAC